CAGCCGUAAACUAUGCUCGCUAGGUGUCAGGCAUGGCGCGACCGUGUCUGGUGCCGCAGGGAAGCCGUGAAGCGAGCCACCUGGGAAGUACGGCCGCAAGGCUGAAACUUAAAGGAAUUGGCGGGGGAGCACAACAACGGGUGGAGCCUGCGGUUUAAUUGGACUCAACGCCGGACAACUCACCGGGGACGACAGCAAUAUGUAGGCCAGGCUGAAGACCUUGCCUGAAUCGCUGAGAGGAGGUGCAUGGCGUAGACGU
rnacentral:rRNA from 1 species